rnacentral:rRNA from 1 species
GCAAGUCGAACGAGAAAGUUUCCUUCGGGAGAUGAUUAAAGUGGCGCACGGGUGAGUAACGCGUGGGUAAUCUACCCUUAAAUCAGGAAUAACCAGCCGAAAGGCUGGCUAAUACCGGGUAUUGUUGUAAAACUUUCGAGUUUAACAACGAAAGGUGGCGCAAGCUACCGUUUGAGGAUGAGCCCGCGUCCCAUUAGCUUGUUGGUGGGGUAAUGGCCUACCAAGGCAACGAUGGGUAGCUGGUCUGAGAGGAUGAUC